rnacentral:rRNA from 1 species
GACGAACGCUGGCGGCGUGCCUAAUACAUGCAAGUCGAACGAAGCUGUUUUAACUGGUGCUUGCACCGACUUAAACAACUGAGUGGCGAACGGGUGAGUAACACGUGGGUAACCUGCCCCAAAGCGGGGGAUAACAUUUGGAAACAGAUGCUAAUACCGCAUAACCACAGAAACCACAUGGUUUCUGUGUCAAAGAUGGUUUCGGCUAUCACUUUGGGAUGGACCCGCGGCGUAUUAGCUAGUUGGUAAGGUAAUGGCUUACCAAGGCAAUGAUACGUAGCCGAACUGAGAGGUUGAUCGGCCACAUUGGGACUGAGACACGGCCCAAACUCCUACGGGAGGCAGCAGUAGGGAAUCUUCCACAAUGGACGAAAGUCUGAUGGAGCAACGCCGCGUGAGUGAAGAAGGUUUUCGGAUCGUAAAACUCUGUUGUCAGAGAAGAACGUGUGCGAGAGUAACUGUUCGUGCAGUGACGGUAUCUGGCCAGAAAGCCACGGCUAACUACGUGCCAGCAGCCGCCGUAA